rnacentral:rRNA from 1 species
GAUGAACGCUGGCGGCGUGCCUAAUACAUGCAAGUCGAGCGAACAGACGAGGAGCUUGCUCCUCUGACGUUAGCGGCGGACGGGUGAGUAACACGUGGAUAACCUACCUAUAAGACUGGGAUAACUUCGGGAAACCGGAGCUAAUACCGGAUAAUAUAUUGAACCGCAUGGUUCAAUAGUGAAAGACGGUUUUGCUGUCACUUAUAGAUGGAUCCGCGCCGCAUUAGCUAGUUGGUAAGGUAACGGCUUACCAAGGCAACGAUGCGUAGCCGACCUGAGAGGGUGAUCGGCCACACUGGAACUGAGACACGGUCCAGACUCCGACGGGAGGCAGCAGUAGGGAAUCGGCCGCAAUGGGCGAAAGCCUGACGGAGCAACGCCGCGUGAGUGAUGAAGGUCUUCGGAUCGUAAAACUCUGUUAUUAGGGAAGAACAAAUGUGUAAGUAACUAUGCACGUCUUGACGGUACCUAAUCAGAAAGCAACGGCUAACUACGUG